rnacentral:misc_RNA from 1 species
GAUGAAGAACGCAGCGAAAUGCGAUAAGUAAUGUGAAUUGCAGAAUUCAGUGAAUCAUCGAAUCUUUGAACGCACAUUGCGCCCCUUGGUAUUCCGAGGGGCAUGCCUGUUCGAGCGUCAUUAUAACCCCUCAAGCUCCGCUUGGUGUUGGGGCCUGCCGCACGGGCAGCCCUUAAAAUCAGUGGCGGUGCCAUCUGGCUCUAAGCGUAGUAAUUCUUCUCGCUAUAGAGUCCCGGUGGAUGCUUGCCAUUAACCCCCAAUUUUCUAUGGUUGACCUCGGAUCAGGUAGGGAUACCCGCUGAACUUAAGCAUAUCAAUAAGCGGAGGA